GUGCCAGCCGCCGCGGUAAUACGGAGGGGGCUAGCGUUGUUCGGAAUUACUGGGCGUAAAGCGCACGUAGGCGGACUGUUAAGUCGGGGGUGAAAUCCCGGGGCUCAACCCCGGAACUGCCUUCGAUACUGGCAGUCUAGAGUUCUGGAGAGGUGAGUGGAAUUCCGAGUGUAGAGGUGAAAUUCGUAGAUAUUCGGAGGAACACCAGUGGCGAAGGCGGCUCACUGGCCAGAUACUGACGCGGAGGUGCGAAAGCGUGGGGAGCAAACAGGAUUAGAUACCCUGGUAGUCCACGCCGGAAACGAUGAGGGCUAGUUGUCGGGCGGCUUGCCGUUCGGUGACGCACCUAACGGAUUAAGCAUUCCGCCUGGGGAGUACGGCCGCAAGGUUAAAACUUAAAGGAAUUGACGGGG
rnacentral:rRNA from 1 species